rnacentral:rRNA from 1 species
GAUGAACGCUGGCGGCGUGCCUAAUACAUGCAAGUCGAGCGAACCACUUCGGUGGUGAGCGGCGAACGGGUGAGUAACACGUAGGUGAUCUGCCCAUCAGACGGGGACAACGAUUGGAAACGAUCGCUAAUACCGGAUAGGACGAAAGUUUAAAGGUGCUUCUGGCACCGCUGAUGGAUGCGCCUGCGGCGCAGUAGCUAGUUGGUAGGGUAAAGGCCUACCAAGGCGACGAUGCGUAGCCGACCUGAGAGGGUGAACGGCCACACUGGGACUGAGACACGGCCCAGACUCCUACGGGAGGCAGCAGUAGGGAAUCUUCGGCAAUGGGCGAAAGCCUGACCGAGCAACGCCGCGUGAAUGAUGAAGGCCUUCGGGUUGUAAAAUUCUGUUAUAAGGGAAGAACGACUUUAGUAGGAAAUGGCUAGAGUGUGACGGUACCUUAUGAGAAAGCCACGGCUAACUACGUGCCAGCCGCCGCAGUAA